GUCCGGUUGCAUAGAGGGUGGGAGGGGGCGAAGAUACCCACAGCCCCGUGAGCCUAGGAUUCUGGGGCUCCCUUCACUGUCUUCACAGGAGCCGAAAGACAAUCUAUUCCUGACUCCAACUCCCAGCUGCACAGGAAAAGAAAACACCUUACUGCAGCUGAGAACGGGCCUCUCCAGGUCUUAACAACCCAUCUCGCUGUUUAGCGAAGUUCCACGCUGGAGGGAGUAGCGGAUGGGCAUGCCCCGCCCCCCUGGGGUGCUGGAGCCCCGGGACUUUGCAGAAACAUCCCCCGAGGGGCAAGGGUGCCUGGCCGGCGGAUCUGUUCACUGUCGUCUCAGUGCCAGCUCGGCUCUGCGUCUUGGGACCUAGAGUGAAGACACCGUGGUUCCCGCCCUCCUACAGUCCGAGCGUCAUUUUCUGGGCGGGGUCACCCAGGCCCCACGAGGGGAACGGGUUGGCCCCAGCUCCGUCAGUGAUCCGGAGGCAGCCAGGGCUGGUGGGAGGAGAGCUAUACGGCCUUGACUCCUGGGGCCCGCAGGUCAGGACCCUGACGAUGGCUGUAGCAGGCAUGCUAGGUACUCCUCACCCUCGGGGCUCCGUCCAAGUUCCUCCUGUGUGUUGGUCUGCUUCAUCCCCACCACACCCGCACGAGGUAGCCGGGGCCCUACUGCCAAAAGAAUGGAUCCAGCUGCCCAGAAGUCGGCAGGAGGGAGAGAGCAAUGGACGGGGAGGGAUGAUGGCUCAGCUGACCUCUUCCCACCAGAGAGGAAUCACAGGCCACCGCAGCGGAGCCCCUGACCCACCGGGUGACCUUCCCCCCGGCCUUACCAAGAUCAGCUGGGGUGGUGAUGAUGACUUUAGCACCUGACACCCCAGGUUUUCUAACGAGGAAAGUGCCUUGAAGUGGGUAGGGCUGGAGAAAAGGGCCAGAAAAGGGAAAGCUGUCAUCACCCCAGACGACUGUGACGCCCCGGCCCCUCUGGAAUGACCCCUAACUCUGUGCCACCUAACUGUGCUUUGGUUAAAAUGAACUCUCAGGUCCCAGACGCCGAGGCAGCAAAGGAGAUCCAGC